GGGGGUGUAACUCAGUGGUAGAGUGCCUGCUUCGCAUGCAGGAAGUCCUGGGUUCAAAUCCCAGCUCCUCCA
rnacentral:tRNA from 1 species